rnacentral:rRNA from 1 species
UCUUGGUCAUUAGAGGAAGUAAAAGUCGUAACAAGGUUUCCGUAGGUGAACCUGCGGAAGGAUCAUUACAAAUGUCUGGGAUGUCCAAUCGGGCCCCCAAGCAAACACAUCCAUGUGUACACUCCCAUGUUGCUUCCCCAGAUCAGUGGCCACUGCUGCCAGCCCACCCCCUCAAUUGGGGUCCUGGGUUGAGGUGUCUGGGGAAGGGCCCAAUAACAAACCUUUGAACCAAUUCGUUGUCUGAGUAGGCCACCCGCCGCAAUCUUUAAAACAUGUUAAAACUUUCAACAACGGAUCUCUUGGCUCUCGCAUCGAUGAAGAACGCAGCGAAAUGCGAUAAGUAAUGUGAAUUGCAGAAUUCAGUGAAUCAUCGAAUCUUUGAACGCACAUUGCGCCCUUUGGUAUUCCUUAGGGCAUGCCUGUUCGAGCGUCACUAAAAACCCCCUCACAGAUAAUGUGGUAUUGGUAGAAGUGAACGGUACUUACAUUACCUUGUCUCACUCUGCUGAAAUGAAUAGGCCAGAGAAGUGGACCCAUGGUAAUUGACUCCAGGAGUGUUUUUCAAUGCUAAACUAGUCUUUACCCAAGUCAAAUUCUGAGCUACCGGACCUCCCAUUAAGUCCAAAACAGAGUGGUUGACCUCGGAUCAGGUAGGGAUACCCGCUGAACUUAAGCAUAUCAAUUAAG